rnacentral:tRNA from 1 species
GACAUUUUGCUAUUUUGGUUAGAGCGCCUGAUUGUGGAUCAGGAGGUCCCUGGUUCGAAUCCAGGCAGUGGUACCA